GUAACUUGAGUUCAGUGUCACAGUGCUGCGUCUAAAAAGCCCAAAGCUGAUAAGACUGGCGAUUGAUCCUAAAGCUGAUUUGACAGAUGAUUGCAUCAUCACAAUAUUAAAGGUUCAAUAUACAGUCAGCGUCUCAUAAGAAUAUAUCCCAAGAUCCAAGACUUGCUUAAAAGUUUAAUUAAGAGACCAUUCUGUGCCACAAAGAAAUUGUUC